UACGUAGGUGGCAAGCGUUAUCCGGAAUUAUUGGGCGUAAAGCGCGCGCAGGCGGUUUCUUAAGUCUGAUGUGAAAGCCCACGGCUCAACCGUGGAGGGUCAUUGGAAACUGGGGAACUUGAGUGCAGAAGAGAAAAGCGGAAUUCCACGUGUAGCGGUGAAAUGCGUAGAGAUCCGGAGGAACACCAGCGGCGAAGGCGGCAUCCUGGACUGGUACUGACGCUCAGGAGCGAAAGCGUGGGGAGCGAUCCGG
rnacentral:rRNA from 1 species